UGAAACUGGAAUGAACAAGGCGCGGCCAAGAUUCCCCUUCACACGUGCAGACAAAGAGCGCCAACAACACAACCCAAAUAUGCACUUUUAAACUUUUCCAAACGAAACGGACGACUUCCACGAACAUAGGAAAUGCAACGGUGGGUUGAAACCUGUUUCAUUUGAAAAGCUUUUCUUUUUCGGGAGGCCUGACCUGGGAAAACGUACAUUGGAGCCGUACCUCUACAACAGGAGUUUAGCUGCAGGACCUCUGAAUAACCAUCUACACUGUGGCGGAUUUACCCGCGACCUGUACAGGACUCAUGGAAUCGAAAUUGGAUUAUAUCUCCCGGCGCACAUCACAGCAAAGGCUUUCCAAAUUGGAUAGGUGUCUCAUCGGACCCUCAAGGACAACAUGGGACAGGGGCCUCUGAAAGAGAGCAUGUGUCCUUCCAUCUCCUUCUCACAGGACAGGGGCCCCAGAAAGAGAGCAUGUGUCCUUCCAUCUCCUUCUCACAGGACAGGGGCCCCAGAAAGAGAGCAUGUGUCCUUCCAUCUCCUUCUCACAGGACAGGGGCCCCAGAAAGAGAGCAUGUGUCCUUCCAUCUCCUUCUCACAGGACAGGGGCCCCAGAAAGAGAGCAUGUGUCCUUCCAUCUCCUUCUCACAGGACAGGGGCCCCAGAAAGAGAGCAUGUGUCCUUCCAUCUCCUUCUCACAGGACAGGGGCCCCAGAAAGAGAGCAUGUGUCCUUCCAUCUCCUUCUCACAGGACAGGGGCCCCAGAAAGAGAGCAUGUGUCCUUCCAUCUCCUUCUCACAGGACAGGGGCCCCAGAAAGAGAGCAUGGCAAAGAUUGAUACUGUCAAAGAGGAAUGUACACACAGACAGACAGGGUAGACAGAGUAGACAUGCAGGCCUGGGAGACUGCCUGGCACUUACAGUACGGAGCCUGCCAUGCUGCGUGAGGGAGGAAGAGGGGAGGAAGGAG